UCCAGUUUGAAAUUGAGAAUUUAUAUCCGUUAUUUCCGAUACUUUUACACGUCGCUAGAAAAAUGCCGAUCCAGUAAAGCCCCAAAAUUAAAAUCGCCUGCUCGAUCCCGUCACCGUACGUGAUCUCACCGCUCAGUGAGAAACACGAGAUCGAUGAACAAGUCAAAUUGCAGUAAUUAGGGCGCCAAUUUUGAGAUAAAGAGCGAGAAUCGGCAGGAGAAUCAGGAGACUAGUAGCGAAGAAACUAAUCAUUGAUUGUGUGCAACCUAAUUUCAGCUACGAAUUAACAUUGAUGAUCAGAGGCAGGUGGGUUGAUUGUAACAUGACUUGCUGCCUGGAAGCAUGUCGAGUGGUUUUCAAACUCCACCAUUUGGAUGACCCUUUUCUCGUGAACUCGGGGUGAUGAAGGUGUGAGCAAGAGAAAACGGCUCCUGACAAGUGAAAUGCUCGCUUUUAUAGCUCAUGUUUGAUUACUGGAUUCCUCUUCAUGUGUAAGUCAACAUAUUGACAGGCAAAAAUAUUGAUGGAACAAUGUUGUGUCAUUGUGCGUUCUUUUGUAUAUUUUAACCAUUUAGUGGAAUUAAAAGGAAUGAAAAAGAAAGAGAAAAAUAUCUUAU